CACCCAGAGGUAGAAGCAUGAUGGGACUGGUAGUUUUGCAACAUCUGGAGGUCCGCAAAUUGCAUAUCCCUGCCAUAGUAUAUCUACAGGAUAGCAAAAUCCCACCCGGUUUGAUUUCUGGUACAGAUUAUAAAGAAGUUAAUCUAAAGAUAUAUUUAAAGGUGAAGUACAAGCAAAACAAAUAAAGUGUAAAUACCAGCAGCAUGUGUAUUGUUAGUUGAAUAUUGGUGUCCAUAUUGUAUUUCCGUCUCCUGCGCUCUCUCCUUGUGAAGAAUGACUGGUCUUGUAUCUGCCUCCCUGUAGUUUCCUGCGGCCAGCCCAUUUGGGUGGACCUAUUGGGCCCUACCCACAGCUCUGUUCUCUGCAAAGAGUUUUUGUACCUUAAAUUCAGCUUUACAUUUUUUUUUUUAGGACCAGUCUUAAAGUUCAAAUGCAGCUAACUAGAUCAAGCAAUAAUCAGCUUUUAGAAUCUCCCAACAAAUUUUGGAUCCUCUAUCAUCCACUGUCAGAGGAAGGUUGCUGUGAGUAGGUGCACAUGGAAGAAAUUUCUUGAUAGUCAGAGAUACAGUCAACUAUUCUCACUGAUGAGUGUGCCUUCAUAAGUUCUUGGCACAAGAGUCAGUGGUACUGAACAUAGAAUGGUCAAGUUCUACUGCUCAUAACACCCAUACCUGAUGACUCGCACUCUUGCAGCCUCGGCCUCUAAUGCGAUCUAUAGCAAGGAAGGCCUGGAGAGGUGUUUCUGCAUCUUCUUACCCAUACCUUGCUAUGACGCCCAGCUCCCGUGCUUUGUGCAAAAUGUACAGAGAAUGAUAGCUAUGGGGAUAAUAACAGCGCCAAAUCUUCUCUCUUUCCCAGUCUGUGACUUGAGAUUUAUAAGAGAAGCAGCUCACUAAUGAGCUCAUCUCUCUGUCAGUCUGCUCUCUCCUCCUAUCAGUAUUGCCACUUAAGGGCCGUACACACGAUCCAAAUAUCAGGCAACAUCGAUAUUGGGGCCGUGUGUACGACAGCCAGUCCGACAGAAGCCAACCGAAUGGGCAUGGAGGAAAAAGGUCUGCUAAUCAGCGAUGUACGGUGCGAUUUGGCGGGCGGGUGCGCUUCUCUGUCAGAACACAAUAGCACAGCAGGGGAGAUGGUUGUACUAACAUCAGACGGUUAGUAUAGCGGCUCCACCCGAGCUCUUCAGUUUUUUUUUUCAGCCUGCUGGGUUGAGCGAAAAAAAAAAAA